GAUACCCUAUUAUUAUAGAUGUGGAUGUUUUUGCCUUGAUUACUAAUAGUUAAGUUCUUAAAAAUUAAAAAAUUUGGCGGUAUUUUAGUCUGUUCAGAGGAACCUGUUUUUUAAUUGAUGGUCCACGAUAAUUUGUACUUUAGCUUUAAAUUUGCAUAUCGUUGUUUAUAAAGAUUUUAGGAGGAUAAUAAUUUUUUUGAUUUUUUAUUAAAUAGUAUUUCAGAUCAAGGUGUAGUUUAUGUUAAAGUUAAAAUGGGUUACAUUGUAGAUAUAGUUGGUAUAUUUAUUUUAAAAGUAAGAUUAAAUUGGAUUUGAUAGUAAAUUUUUUAUUUUUGAGGAUUGAUUUAGCUCUAAAAUAUGCACACAUCGCC
rnacentral:rRNA from 1 species